GUGUUUCAUUCAGCAGCACUUAGACUAAAAUUGGAAUGGGACAAGAUUAGCAUAGCCCCCAGAAAAGGAUGACAUGAAAAUUGGUGAAGAGCUUGCUAUUUAA